rnacentral:rRNA from 1 species
UACGAAGGGGGCGAGCGUUGUUCGGAAUUACUGGGCGUAAAGCGCGCGCAGGCGGUUCUUUAAGUCUGAUGUGAAAGCCCACGGCUCAACCGUGGAGGGUCAUUGGAAACUGGAGAACUUGAGUACAGAAGAGGAAAGCGGAAUUCCACGUGUAGCGGUGAAAUGCGUAGAGAUGUGGAGGAACACCAGUGGCGAAGGCGGCCUGCUGGGCAGUGGCUGACACUGAGGCGCGACAGCGUGGGGAGCAAACAGG